AGGGUUCGAUUAUGGCUCAGGAUGAACGCUAGCGGCAGGCUUAACACAUGCAAGUCGAGGGGUAACAGGGAUUGCUUGCAAUCCGCUGACGACCGGCGCACGGGUGCGUAACGCGUAUGCAACCUACCUUCUACAGGGGAAUAGUCAAUAGAAAUGUUGAAUAAUACCCCAUACGAUCUUUGAAUAGCAUUAUUUAGAGAAGAAAGUUCCGGCGGUAGAAGAUGGGCAUGCGUCCUAUUAGUUAGUUGGAGGGGUAACGGCUCCCCAAGACAUCGAUAGGUAGGGGUCCUGAGAGGGAGACCCCCCACACUGGUACUGAGACACGGACCAGACCCCUACGGGAGGCAGCAGUGAGGAAUAUUGGACAAUGGAGGCAACUCUGAUCCAGCCAUGCCGCGUGCAGGAAGACUGCCCUAUGGGUUGUAAACUGCUUUUAUACAGGAAGAAAUGUACCUACGUGUAGGUAUUUGACGGUACUGUACGAAUAAGGAUCGGCUAACUCCGUGCCAGCCGCCGCGGUAAUUC
rnacentral:rRNA from 1 species